UUAGGGUGUAAUUACAAGUAAUUAUACUAAAAUUCAAUUACUAGGUGGCUUUUUGAACACUAUUUGAAUCGAAAUUUGAAUAUAAAAUAAGAAAAAAAAAGGUGAAAUUUAGAUAUGAAAGCCUUAAAUAUACAUUCAUUUUAAUGGGCAUGGAUAAGAGCUUAAGAGAAAGACUCUGUUGCUGGGUUGAAGGGCCCAAAUAAAAUAAAAGUUUAGACCAUCAAACACCAAGAACGUAUCCUAACUUACCGGUAAGAUCGGAGCCCAACUCUAGUUUAGGGUUUUAACUUUUACAAUAUCUAGGGUUUUCAAAAGAAAAUACCUCUAUAUAAACCCUUCAAGGUCGCCUCUUUUCUUCAUCCUCCCAUCUUAGAACAGCCAGCCCCCCAAAGUAUAUAUAGUUCCAGUGAGCCAAUGAUGAUAUAAUCCACUUUGGAUGAGGUGCAGUGGAGCCAAGAACGAACCUACUUGGUAGAAGCUGCAAUUCAGUGGUUUUAAUGGAUUCAACUGAGGCUGUCUUUUUAAUUAAAUGCUUUUAACUUGGUGUUUCUUGGGUUUGGGUUUGGGUUUGAUUGAGUUUAACUAUACCCUAAACCCUUUGCUAUUAAUUUCGGUUUAGGGUCUGAAAAACUCAUAUAGUCAUGUGUUGUCAUCAGCUUCUUCUCUUGCACUUUUCACGAGAUUGGAGUUAAAUAACAGCACUACAUUGUUCUUUUGUUUAUUUUGCAGGUGUGGCAUGAAUUCUUAGGUUCCUGAGAAGUUGGUUGACUGUUUCCACUUUUAAAUUGUGUAUUUUGUAGGCCAUUGUAUUAUUGUGUGUUUCUUAAUUGUAAUGAAGUGCAAAGAUGAUCUAUUACUUCUCAGACGGAGCUCUUUCUAUUGUGCUCUCUAUCAUGUUUUUCACAGCGCAAUAAAAAUAAAAAAGGGUAAAACUGAAGUUAA